rnacentral:rRNA from 1 species
AGUGAACGCUGGCGGUAGGCCUAACACAUGCAAGUCGAACGGCAGCACAGUAAGAGCUUGCUCUUACGGGUGGCGAGUGGCGGACGGGUGAGGAAUACAUCGGAAUCUACUUUUUCGUGGGGGAUAACGUAGGGAAACUUACGCUAAUACCGCAUACGACCUACGGGUGAAAGCAUGGGAUCUUCUGACCUUGCGCGAUUGAAUGAGCCGAUGUCGGAUUAGCUAGUUGGCGGGGUAAAGGCCCACCAAGGCGACGAUCCGUAGCUGGUCUGAGAGGAUGAUCAGCCACACUGGAACUGAGCCACGGUCCAGACUACUACGGGAGGCAGCAGUGGGGAAUAUUGGACAAUGGGCGCAAGCCUGAUCCAGCCAUACCGCGUGGGUGAAGAAGGCGUUCGGGUUGUAAAGCCGGUUUGUUGGGAAAGAAAAGCAGCAGGUUAAUACCCCGCUGUUCUGACGGUACCCAAAGAAUAAGCACCGGCUAACUUCGUG